GCGCCCAUAGCUCAGCUGGAUAGAGCACUUGGCUUCGAACCAAGGGGUCGGGGGUUCGAGUCCCUCUGGGCGCACCA
rnacentral:tRNA from 1 species